rnacentral:rRNA from 1 species
CGAACGUUGGCAGUGCGUUUUAAGCAUGCAAGUCGAACGGUAACAGGGUCUUCGGACCGCUGACGAGUGGCGAACGGGUGAGUAACACGUAGGUGAUCUACCUAGAAGUUGGGGAUAGCUCAUGGAAACAUGGGGUAAUACCGAAUACGAUUCAUAUACUAUGGUUAAUGAAUGAAAGGGGCUUUGGCCUCGCUUUUAGAUGAGCCUGCGGCUGAUUAGUUAGUUGGUGGGGUAAAGGCCUACCAAGGCGACGAUCAGUAGCCGGCCUGAGAGGGCGAUCGGCCACACUGGGACUGAGAUACGGCCCANACUCCUACGGGAGGCAGCAGCUAAGAAUCUUCCGCAAUGGGCGAAAGCCUGACGGAGCGACACUGCGUGAGUGAGGAAGGCGGAAACGUUGUAAAACUCUUUUCUAGAUGAGGAAUAAGCAUAGGAGGGAAUGCCUGUGUGAUGACGUUAAUCUAGGAAUAAGCCCCGGCUAAUUACGUGCCAGCAGCCGCGGUAAC